rnacentral:rRNA from 1 species
UGACCUCAACUCAGGCAAGACUACCUGCUGAACUUAAGCAUAUCAGUAAGCAGAGGAAAAGAAAACAACUGUGAUUCCCUUAGUAACUGCGAGUGAAGCGGGAAAAGCCCAUCGUUUAAUCUUCCUGGACCAUGGACAGGACGAAAUGUAACGGUAUGGAUAGGUUUUCUACCAACAAAGUCUGGUCAAAGUCCUCCGGAUUGAGGUGCCAAAGAGGGUGACAGCCCCGUGUGUGAUCAGACUUGAUAUGUUGGGUAUGUGACCGAUUCCGAGAGUCGGGUUGUUUGGGACUGCAACCUAAAGUAGGUGGUAAACUCCACCCAAGGCUAAAUAUUGACACGAAACCGAUAGCGAACAAGUACUGU